rnacentral:lncRNA from 1 species
AUGAAUGGGAUAGGAAAUGGAAUAACAUAAACUUUGUGCAGUCCUAUCUCACUAUCCUGGAAGAUGGAAGUCCAAGAUCAGCAUGCUACCAUGGCCGGGUUCCGGUGAGGUUGUGGACCUCUUCCAGGUUCUAGACAGCUGACUGCUCCUUGUGCUCUCACAUGGUAGAAAGAGACUGGUAGAGCUCUCUAGAGUCACAGACUCCAUAAUGGCACAAACCUCAUUUAGCAGAGCUCCACCCUCAUGACCUAAUCACCUCCAAAGGCCACAACUUCUAAUACCAUCAUAUUGACAGUUAGGAUU